UACGUAGGGAGCAAGCGUUGUCCGGAAUCAUUGGGCGUAAAGCGCGCGUAGGUGGCCUCGUAAGUCCGCUGUGAAAGUCAAAGGCUCAACCUUUGAAAGCCGGUGGAUACUGUGGGGCUAGAGUACGGAAGAGGCGAGUGGAAUUCCUGGUGUAGCGGUGGAAUGCGCAGAUAUCAGGAGGAACACCAAUAGCGAAGGCAGCUCGCUGGGGUGUUGCUGACGCUGAGGCGCGAAAGCGUGGGGAGCAAACCGG
rnacentral:rRNA from 1 species